ACAGCAUAAACUUUGUGGCAUUGAGGCAGUCUAUAGAUCCGCUGUUCGGUGAUCAAAUUAACUGAUAAACAUGAAAUACCUCUUGGCUGUUCUUCUGUUGGCUGCGGUCUCGGAAGCCUUCGACUGUCCCAGCGCGGGAAUAUUCCCCAAGGAGGACUGCACAGGAUUCUACGUGUGUGGUCGCAACCUCCUCACAGGCGUGGGCGAGCUGGAGGUUAUAUACGACUACGCAUGCGAUGCAGGAGCUCUCUACAACAGCAGCAUUCGUCGUUGCGAGGAAGGCUACGUCUGCCCCGAGAAGUAGAACGACUGACGACGGGAGAUGGGAGUGAAUGGAAGGCCUAUUUUGCAUUCUUCGGGACAACAACGUUCCAUUUUCAUGAACCAUUGAAUUAUCUUAUUGGCGUAUUAUUGGAAAAUUAUCCCUACUCAAGAAAUUCGAAAAUGUCAUCAGAAUACUAGGGAGUAAAUACAGACAUUGUGAACUCUGUUAAGCUCACAUUGAAAUUUUAUUGUUCAUAAUUAUGGAGUUGAAAUUCAUCCCAUUCUCUCUUGCUUUUCGUUCUCCAUUACUUAAAACGUUAUUUUGGAGUUAUGCUUCGUUUCAUCAAUAAGAAACAAACCAGUCAUGUAUAUAAGUAAAGUAUUAUUUCUAAGUGCUUCUCUUUUGCCCAUAAAACCAGCAAUGAGAACUCUCGCGAUUUAACUUUAUAAACAAGGAUUUGUAUAUAAGAAAUAAAGCAGUUAUAAAAGCGUAUU